rnacentral:lncRNA from 10 species
CCUACCUGCUGAAUCAUAGACAGGUGAAGCAACUUCAGCAAAGUCACUCAGCUAAAAUAUGGAUGAGUCAAAAUUUAAACCUGGAACUGUUGAACUCCAGUGAUCUUGCAAUGCCAUAUAGUAUAUGUAAAACCACCAUGCUGUAUCAUAGAGUAUAUAUGAAAGCAUUAGUGCGAUGUCUGUAAAUUAGUAAAUGAAGUGGCACAUGUACAUGAAAUAGAAAAUACCUUCUGAAUGCAAUUAACUGCUCAUGAACUACCAUGAAAUUUGGGACAUAGCUACCUUGUUGGCUAAAAUGAGAAAAGAAUGAUUAUUUGUUCUCAGAUGAGAAACGUCAACAUCUGAAACUCUCCAGUGUUUUGCUCGGUAUCUCUUCUUCCUCGAUAAUAUCAACAAGGCCAAAGGAUGGAAGAAUGGACAAAUAGGCAAACAGACACAGAUAGACACACACACAAUUUCUUAAUUAGUUUUUAUUUAUUUUUUAAAUUUUAUUGCAUGUCC